UUUGAGGAUUUGAUCCUGGUCCAGGAUGAACGCUAGCGGUGUGCUUUAAGCAUGCAAGUGGGACGAGUUGUAGCAAUACAACUAGUCGCGAACGGCUGAGUAUAAAAUAGGAAUCUACCCAAUGGUGUGGAAUACCUUAUCGAAAGAUGAGCUAAUACCACAUGACCUCGCAAGAGAAAAGGACUUAACUGUCCGCCGAUGGAUGAGCCUAUUUCCCAUCAGUUUGUUGGUAGGGUAAUGGCCUACCAAGACUAUGACGGGUAGGGGAUUUGAGAGGAUGACCCCCCAGAACAGGACUGAGACACGGCCUGUACACCUACGGGUGGCAGCAACUGGGAAUCGUGCGCAAUGGACGAAAGUCUGACGCCGCGACACCGCGUGAAGGAUGAAGGCCUUUUGGUCGUAAACUUCUUUUGCCAUAUGGGUGACCAUAUGGAGAAUAAGCACCUGCUAACUCUGUGCCAGCAGCCGCGGUAAUACAGAGGGUGCAAGCGUUAUCCGGAUUUAUUGGGCGUAGAGCGUUUCGUAGGCGGUUUGGUAAGUUAGACUUCAAAGACCACGGCUCAACCGGGGGAAGGGGUCUAAUACUGCCAGACUUGAGGGUUUUAGGGGCAAUCGGAACUGUUGGUGUAGGGGUGAAAUCCGUUGAUAUCAACAGGAACGUCAAGGGCGUAGGCAGAUUGCUGGGAAACUUCUGACGCUGAGGAACGAAAGCUAGGGGAGCGAAAGGGAUGGGGUUUAUAAACUCUAGAGAGACCCCUGUAGUCCUAGCCGUAAACUUUGCCUGCUAGCGAUCCGACUUUGGUCGGGUUGCGUAAGCUAACGCGUUAAGCGGGCCGCCUGGGGAGUACGAACGCAAGUUUAAAACUCAAAGGAAUUGACGGGAAGGCGCACAACCAGUGGAGCAUGGUAUUACAGGUGUUGCAUGGCCGUCGUCAGCUCGUGUCGUAGGUGUUCCCUUCAGUGGGGUAACGAGCGCAACCCCUGCCCUGAGUUAAAUAAUCUCAGGGGACUUCCCUCAUUUAUUGCGGGAGGAAGUGGGGACGACGUCAGGUCAGCAUGGCCCUUAUGACUGGGGCAACACACAUACUACAAUGGAGC
rnacentral:rRNA from 1 species